rnacentral:lncRNA from 1 species
GAAGGUUGAGAGAGACGCGAUUGAGUGAGCGGGAGCGGUAGAGAACGACGAGAUUGAGUGAGUUUGUAGUCGAGAGUGACGAGAGGAUGGAGGAUGAAAGUGAGGACGAUGAGGGAUUUUCUCGUUACUGUACCUCACAUCUUCUCAUUUUAUUUUUAUUUUUAUUUAUUUAAGAAAAACAAACGUUUAAACCAUAAAGAUUUUACGUUUAGUCUUCCUGUUUCCUUUAUUUAAUAAUGUAUAUUAAUGUAUUUU